AGCUGUAAGUGUUGAUAUUGUUAACACUUGUUUGGGCUCAUAACCCAAAGGUCGCUGGUUCGAAUCCAGCCCCCGCUA
rnacentral:tRNA from 1 species